AAACCAUGGUGGGGACACCUUAAAAUAAUGUCUUUAAAUCUUUCCCAACUCUCAUAAAAUUUCUCAUGUUCUUCCCGAUAAAAUCAGAAAUUUCUCUUCUUAAUGC